GAUGAACGCUGGCGGCGUGCCUAAUACAUGCAAGUCGAGCGAACAGAUGAGGAGCUUGCUCCUCUGACGUUAGCGGCGGACGGGCGAGUAACACGUGGAUAACCUACCUAUAAGACUGGGAUAACUUCGGGAAACCGGAGCUAAUACCGGAUAAUAUAUUGAACCGCAUGGUUCAAUAGUGAAAGACGGUUUUGCUGUCACUUAUAGAUGGAUCCGCGCCGCAUUAGCUAGUUGGUAAGGUAACGGCUUACCAAGGCAACGAUGCGUAGCCGACCUGAGAGGGUGAUCAGCCACACUGGAACUGAGACACGGUCCAGACUCCUACGGGAGGCAGCAGUAGGGAAUCUUCCGCAAUGGGCGAAAGCUUGACGGAGCAACGCCGCGUGGGUGAUGAAGGUCUUCGGAUCGUAAAACUCUGUUGUUAGGGAAGAACAAAUGUGUAAGUAACUAUGCACGUCUUGACGGUACCUAAUCAGAAAGCCACGGCUAACUUCGUG
rnacentral:rRNA from 1 species